rnacentral:lncRNA from 1 species
CAAACCACCCAGCAAGUGCAAGAUACCAUCAAUAAUGCGGUAAACUUAAAAAAAAAAAUAAACAGUAUAAUAUGUCUUAGGUUCAAUGCCAGUCUUCUCCAGAAGCUUAUUAAUUGUUUGAUUUCCCCGUUCAGCUGAACACUCUUCUGAAUGAACCUGGCAGUCCAACUUUACAACCCAAGACCGCCAACUUCACGAUCACUUCAAACCAGAUUGUUGGACAGAUGGAAUACAGCUUCCAGGAUGGAGAUGUCAUACAACCAGUCAGCUUCCUCAAUGAGCUACGUCAACCAACCACUACAACAGUGUUUCCAGAAACAACAUUUGGUUUCUCUGUGACUCCUUCAAACCUCAUGUAAGUGUUGUAUUGCUUUUUUGAGAACAAUAAAAUAAUUAAAGAAAGAAUGUUAUUGCAAAAUUUGAUGUACAUCAAACAAAUGUGGUUAUAUUUACAGAUCUGGUUCAGCAAUGGUCACAAGCAAGCUGGUGUUCAACUCCUCAUCUCCAGUGCCCAGUGAAUCUUUGGUCCUCAGUGCUAUCAAUACUCUCCGUCAUUCCAGAGAGUCACAGCUCAAUGAAUCGGUGAAGGUGCUGAAUGUCACCUAUGAGAAAAUCUCAGAAACUUCCUAUGCUGUGGUCUUUACUUUCAACGUGAUUAACAUCAGCAUGCCAGAGGACCCUGUGUCUAGAGGCAAAACCACCCAGCAAGUGCAAGAUACCAUCAAUAAUGCGCUGAACACUCUUCUGAAUGAACCUGGCAGUCCAUCUUUACAACCCAAGACCGCCAACUUCACGAUCACUUCAAACCAGAUUGAUGGCAAGAUGGAAUACAGCUUCCAGGAUGGAGAUGUCAUACAACCAGUCAGCUUCCUCAAUGAGCUACGUCAACCAACCACUACAACAGUGUUUCCAGAAACAACAGCCAGUGUUUCUGUUACUACUCCCAACCUCAUAUCUGGUUCAGCAGUGGUCACAAGCAAGCUGGUGUUCAACUCCUUAUCUCCAGUGCCCAGUGAAUCUCUGGUCCUCAGUGCUAUCAAUACUCUCCGUCAUUCCAGAGAGUCACAGCUCAAUGAAUCGGUGAAGGUGCUGAAUAUCACCUAUGAGAGUAAGUGUCAUAAUUUUCCCUUCAAAAGAUUUUAA